rnacentral:SRP_RNA from 1 species
GCCAGGCAUGGUGGCGCAUGCCUGUAAUCCCAGCUACUCAGGAGGCUGAGGCAGGAGAAUUGCUUGAAUCCGGGAGGCGGAGGUUGCAGUGAGCCAAGAUUGUGCCACUGCAUUCCAGCCUGGGCAACACAGUGAGACUCCGUCUCAA